AACACUUUCCUGGUGUGACUCGAAAUGCUGUAACUAAGUUCAUCACUAAGCUGACAUUUGAAAUGAAGAUUCUUGCUGCAGUUUGAAAUUAAAAUUCUUGAUGCUGAAUAAUUAACAUCUAAUUACAGGAUAAAGGAAAGAUCUUUUAGUAUCUCAAGUUUUGGUACAGAAAAAUACAUGUAAAUAUAAAGCAUUCAUGGUUAUGUUCCUAAAAGAAUCCAAUAUACAAUGGAAAAGUGGGGUGGUAAUAUUUCUACUCUGACAGGCUGCGAUAUUUAGCCAAACAAUGAAAUAAAAAAAACCCAACAUUAAUAGGCAGAGAGGUGUGCACAUCUCUUCAAAUCAUUACCAAUUCUAGCAAUUGCCUGGACUAGUCUGCAAUUUUCAGAAGCAACUUGCAAUUGCCUUCUCUUCGUAGGAAUGAGUGACUGUCCCAAGGUCACAUGAAUGGCUUUGUGCCUAAAAUAGGAAAAAUUCAGAGUCUCUGAUGUCUUAACUACUAUACCAACUGGCUCUCAUUAAUAGGGAUAAAUUAUCAAAAAGCUAACAGAUAAAUCUGGUAAGGAAACAGGAGCAGAAAAAUGGGAUUGAUUUAGACCUCAAGAUGGAACGUGUAAAGCCAUGAAGCAUGCAAGAAGUUGGUUACCAAAUACUGAGAAGAAAUUGAGAAGUUGUGUCAAUGUAAAAAUGUAUAAUGUCUUUUGGGAAAAAUAAAUUAUAGAAAGAGUACAAUAAAAUAUAGUUAUAGUGUAGAUUGAUGAUACAAGACAGAGAAGGCCAAAGGAUAUUGUGAUUGACAUAGAGUUAUAGUAGGAGCUCUGUCCUGUUGAAAUCAAACUAAGGCUGCAGAUCUGAACCCACAUUACAUCUUAGAGAGCUAUUAAUUUUAUUCAUUUGUCCAUUUACAUCUCACAAUUUUUCCAAGUAGUACAUAACAAUAUGUAUGGUUAUGAAUUACUUUCACCUGUUUUAUUUUUACAAGUUUGUAAAGUAGAUAAUUGAGCAACAGUAUCUGUGUUCACAUAUUUUAUUAAGCCAACUCUAUAAUGUACCAAAGGCAUAAUAUCCCCUUUUAUAUGCAGUAUUAUACAUAAUGAAAACAAAGUAUAUAUGACUUAGAACAAUGACUGGACCCAGGCAGUUUCAGUCUCAAGGUCACCCAAAUGGUCAUAAAUGAACGAGCAUUUCCUACUCUAGUUCUUCACACUGCCGCUAUACAGCAUUGGCUCUAAAUACCUAAAUAGUUGUAACUGUAUUCAUUUUUUUUCUUCUAUUCAACUUUGUUUGAUUCAUGUAGACUGCCUGUACAAGUUUCUACAGUUUUCUUGGCAAGAUUUUCAGAAGUGGUUUGCCAUUGCCUCCUUCCUGAGGCCAAGAGAAAGGGACUGGCUCAAUAUAUUAACCACUAUACCAAAUUGAUUUUCAACUGUUAUUUAUACUAAUGUACAAGCAGAUACAUAAAAUGGUCUACAACAUCUGUACUGUUCUCCAGGUUUAGUCUGCAUCAGAUACACCUAAAUAAAAUGUCACAAAUGAAUUGAAGUGUGUUUGAAUUUUUUUUUAAAUGUAGCAAUCCUGUAUUAUGGCUAUUCAGCCAUUUUCACAUAUGUUACUUCCAAUACUUGAUUAGCUCCAACAUAUUAAGAAAACAGCAAAGUGUACCAAACACAAAGCAGAAGCAUUAGCAAGAUACAAGUUCAAUUUCUUCAUAUAGUUAUAUAGAAUAAAAGCCUGAACUUGAGUCUCAUCUUGGCCUAUAGUUUAAUUUGUCAUUCAAAGGUUUCUAUAAAUGUACUUUUGGCUUUGGGAAAUAAAGAAAGGGAAAAAGAAAUAAGCACUCUCCAAAAUACAGUGAAUGGAAAAUCUACAGCGCAGCCAAAUUCUUGGUUUGCUCAAUAGUUAUGCUUGCUGUUAAUCCUUCCAGUUUGUUAAACUUGAUUCUUGUUUCCUGCUCUCCUUUUCUUGUUUUUUGGCAUGGAUUUUACCUGCCCUAGGCAACUUGAAUGGCAUGUUUAAUCUUUUCAAUCAGGUUGUCAUGGAACUGUGAAAAACUAUGCAGUUCUUCAGAAUUAAACAGAUAUUCUCGGAUGUGUCAUUGCAAUAAAAAUAUUGUUCUCAUUUCUAAAAGCCUUCCACAUAUUGCAAUGAGUGUGAAGUUUUUUUUCAAAAGAAGAGCAGAUAGAUUAACAUUUAUUAAUUUAAAUUUAUUAAUUAUUACACAAUAGGCACCCAACUUUGGUUCUUUCAUCCCCAAUAAAUUAGUUAAAAUUAAUGGGGGGGGGGCACGGGAAUCAACAAAAGGGUUCAUUAUGGAUUUUUAUCUUAGUUUUUCUUGGAGACACUAAUUUUUAUUUUAGCAACAGAAAAUUAGCAAUUACAUGCUAGUUUAAUAUUAUUAAAUAAUAAAACAAUAAAUAUUAAACAAUAAUAUAAUUUAUUAUGUCAUUCUGAAGAUUGUAGUAGACCCAUAGAAUAAUAAGAUAUAAUUCUGCCAUCUGCAUUUAAAAGAUAAGGUAUACUCUUGUCCCUUGUUGUCUUGCUUCCUUUGCUAUCACUUAGUGCAAAUUCUAGGCUGUUUAAGUAUGAUUAAAACAAAUAUGGUGGUACUUUACCUCUACCCUGUUUAAAUGUUUUAUUUAAAAGAAAAAUAAUCAUUCUUUAAUAAAAGGAACAAGUAUUAAGUGAUACACUAUAUAAAAUACACAUAGUGCAAAAUAUUCUGCACUGGAAUUCUGCUCUUCUGCUGUUUAAUAGAUUCCCUUCCUAAAAAUAUUUGAUCUGGUUCUAUAGCUGGCACUGAAGUUCUGUGGUCUUUUGGAGUUGGGUGACUUCAAUUGACAUGAUUUCAGGACUUGUUUGAAUAAAGCUUGGGAGUUUAUAACUUCCAUGAGGAUAAUAGGCAUGUCUCAAUACAUACAUAAUACACAAAAGAGGUGAAACUUUUGAGCUAGUUCUUUUUCCUCAGAACAAAUGGGUGUUGAUCAUAUCACUUUCUGCUCCCAAUAAGACUGAUGGCCACUCACAUCUUCCAUAGUAAAAAAGAACAAAUUAGAAUGAUCUGCCUCAGGCACUUUAUGGGUCUGAAUAGUUUCCUAAAGAUAUUUGUGGAAAGUUAUUUUUCAGUGAUCCUGCAAGUAGUCUGCUGAGUCUUGGUUGCCAUAGUAACAGGAUGUGGCCCAUGUGCUUGACAAGAUAGUAGCCUGAACAACCUUUCUCUGUCAGAUACACCCAAUUAGUUCCUUGGGAAGGCUUCUGUGAGAGGAACCAGCAAGAGAAACAUCUGAAAUGCUGGUAGAGAUAGAUAAAUAAUGAAGUUGACCAAGAUCAGUAGGAGUUCAGGUUCAAGCUGAAAAGAAGCAAUGAAAGGGGAAAGAGGAAAAACUCCAUUUUUCUCCAUUGGAAGACUUCCAAAAUAAAGAUGAUUAGCCUGGAAACAAAA